UUGGCAAGUAGAUGGGGCACCCCACAUCAAAUUAGAUAAGUUAAGUGGGCGCCCUCAUCCAAACAUGGCAAGUAGUUGGGGCACCAACUCUUGGCACCCUUCUAGGGUUUUGGAACACAAGAGAGAGGGCAUAGCCCCUCUCUCACUCUCCUUCCAUGCCAAGAUGAAAGAGAGAGCGGGCCCCUUUUUUAUUCUCAUGCCAACUCCAAGGGAUUGUGCCCCC
rnacentral:lncRNA from 1 species